CUAUAGGGAAUGGAGCUUCCUUCAGUCCAGUCCGAGACAGGUUAAGGCUGAUAUUGCAGCUGCUGACUCGUUGGUUCAUGAACUCAUCGAAGUGUUGGAUGAAAGAUGUGUUUUUGAUCCAAUGAUGCAGGAGCUGUGUUCAGUUAUUACUGUCACGUCUUGGACUGAAGGGAGCUCCCUACUGUAUUUGC
rnacentral:pre_miRNA from 1 species